UACGGGAGGCAGCAGUGGGGAAUCUUGCGCAAUGGGCGAAAGCCUGACGCAGCCAUGCCGCGUGAAUGAUGAAGGUCUUAGGAUUGUAAAAUUCUUUCACCGGGGACGAUAAUGACGGUACCCGGAGAAGAAGCCCCGGCUAACUUCGUGCCAGCAGCCGCGGUAAUACGAAGGGGGCUAGCGUUGCUCGGAAUUACUGGGCGUAAAGGGAGCGUAGGCGGACAUUUAAGUCAGGGGUGAAAUCCCGGGGCUCAACCUCGGAAUUGCCUUUUGAUACUGGGUGUCUUGAGUAUGAGAGAGGUGUGUGGAACUCCGAGUGUAGAGGUGAAAUUCGUAGAUAUUCGGAAGAACACCAGUGGCGAAGGCGACACACUGGCUCAUUACUGACGCUGAGGCUCGAAAGCGUGGGGAGCAAACAGGGAUUUAGAUACC
rnacentral:rRNA from 1 species